rnacentral:lncRNA from 1 species
CUGUGAAGUACUUUUUAACUGUGAGGGAAAAAUAGAAUACGGAAAAAAAAAGGACUGAACCCGUGCCUCGGACCAGGGUCUAGUAGGCUGAAGGAACUUACCUGAUGUGGACCCCUCUACAUUAGUCUCAUCUGAAGAUCCGUCCUCCUAACCCAGCACUCACACAUUUGCAGCUCCAGGAUGUGCCCUUCUCUCAAAACUGUGCCUUAGCUGUGCCCUGUGACUACACACCUUUCUUUCACUUCUGGCCAGCACCUCCUGAGAUUUGCUGAAAGCAAGUCCCAGGCAUGGAGCUGCACUACAGGAGCUACAGCACGGGUAGAUAAAACGCCAAAAGAAACCUCAUCUUUCGGGCUAGAGGAAGAGUGUGUGUGUGUGUGUGUGUGUGUGUGUGUCCGUGUGUGUCUGUGUGUGUGUGUGUGUGUGUAUGUGUGUGUGUGGUGGGGAAGGUGGGGCGGUCUUGUAAACUGAAGAAUGUGGGGAAAAUCCCAGAGAAAAAACUGGAGAAGGGGAUCCCCUAAUUCUGUGAAUGAAUGUGUGCAAAUCUCAGGGUCAACCCUGAGCAGCACAUGUGUAGCCAAACAGCACAGCAAUUCUCACAGACUGGAAAACUCAAUUGAUACUUAGGUCACUGUCAAAGUCCCAGACUAAGACCUGAGUGGUGCCUGCAUGAGACAGACCUGAAGAGGCAAAAGCUUUGAAAACUGAACUGAGAUUAGAACCACUGCCCACAGAAGGCAAAACAGAAAUUUGGAAUCUGAACCUAAGCAAAUUGAUUGCCUGACCAAACAAAAAAAUAAACAAAAAAUCCCAAUAGUCUCCAGAGGAUUAUAACAGGAUGCAGAGCCUACACAAUAUAACAUUUGGGAUGUUUAAGAUAUAGUCCAAAAUUAUUUGUCAUAAAGAGUCCAAAAAAUGUGACCAAAUAAGAGAAAAGACAGUCAACAGAUGUCAACCUAGAAAUAACCCAGAUGUUGAAUGCAUUAUUUUUUAAAACUUUUAAAAGCAUUUCUAACUAUGUUGUAUGAAGUAAAGGUAAACAUAUUUGAAGUGAAUGAAAUGACAGCUCUCAGCAAAGAAACAGAAGCUGCUGCAAAAAAAGAAAGCUGCUACAAAAAGAAGAAAGAAAACAAAAUGUUAGAACUGAAAAAAAAAUUACCUGAAACAAAACAUUCACAUAAGCUCAAUAACAGAAUGAGCUGUUACCAAAGAGAAUAAUGGGUUGUUAUUGCUAUUGAAGAGCAAAGUGUUAGUGCAACUGAAAAUAAAUCCAUAGAAAAUAUCUGAUCUGAAUAACAAAGAUAACUUCUCCUGAGAAAAGAAGUUGAAAAAAUGAACAAAGCCUCAAGGACCUAUGGGACAAUACCAAAAUGUUCCAGAAGGAAGGAUGAAAGAUUGCUGCAGAAGUAUUUAAAGAAACAGUAGCUGAAAUUUCCAGAAUUUGGUGAACGAUAUAAACUUACAGAUUCAAGAAGCCUGGCAAACCUCAUUGAGGAUAAAAUCAAAGAAUACUAUGCCUACACACAUUAGAUUCAAACUGCUGAAAAUGGAAGCUAUAGGGAAAAAAUAUAAGCAGCUAGAGAAAAACAACGUAUUUUUACAGGGGAAUACCAAUUCAAACAACUGUGGAUUUCUCAUCAGAAACCACAAAGGCUACAAAACAGUGGAAUAACACUCUGAAAGUGUUGAAAGACCUAUUGAUGCAGAAACCUAUGAACAGUGAAAAUAUCCUCCAGGAUUGAAGGUGAAAUAAAGUUUUCAGAUGAAGUACAAAUUAAGAAUAUUCAUCACCAACAGAUCUGCUCAAAAAGAAAUGCUGAAGGAAAUUCUUUAUGCUAAAAAGAAAAAUUACAAGAGCAAACCUUGGGUAAAGGAAAAGCAACAAAAAUGGUAAAUAUCUGAAUAAAUAAAACAGAUUAUUUUUUCCUCUUAAGUUCUUUAAAAUAGACAUGACUGUUGAAGUAAAGAUUAUAAUACAGUAUACAGCUAUAAUACAUGUAAACUAUUUGCAACAUAUAAUGUAUUCUUAUCAUAACUGAAAGUUCAUAUUGCUAAUACCUUGGGUACUCGUAGUUUUAACACCAGAAACAAGGAAAGAAAAACAAACAUGUUUAUAUAACAAAAACAACCUUUUCACCUCAUAGUCCAGAGCCCAAGAGUGGACCGCACAAUGGGAAUGAUGUGGGGCAGUGGGCAACUCAAGUAGAGGCUGCUGGGGAGCAGUCAUAUCACUAUGGAGAGGCUAUGAGGAAUCCACUUCCUUCAGGUGUCCAACCAUCAGCAGCUUGGAGUACCCCGCUCAACUGCCAGGGAGCUAUCACUCUUUUUCUUUCUUUCUUUUUUUUUUGGGGGGGGACAGUCUUGCUCUGUCCCCC